UACGGAGGGUGCAAGCGUUAUCCGGAUUCACUGGGUUUAAAGGGUGCGUAGGCGGAUUAUUAAGUCAGUGGUGAAAGCCUGCAGCUUAACUGCAGAAUUGCCAUUGAUACUGAUGAUCUUGAGUAUGAUUGAGGUGGGCGGAAUGUGUCAUGUAGCGGUGAAAUGCUUAGAUAUGACACAGAACACCGAUUGCGAAGGCAGCUCACUAAGCCAUAACUGACGCUGAUGCACGAAAGCGUGGGGAGCAAACAGG
rnacentral:rRNA from 1 species